rnacentral:rRNA from 1 species
GACGAACGCUGGCGGCGUGCUUAACACAUGCAAGUCGAACGAAGAGCGAUGGAAGCUUGCUUCUAUCAAUCUUAGUGGCGAACGGGUGAGUAACGCGUAAUCAACCUGCCCUUCAGAGGGGGACAACAGUUGGAAACGACUGCUAAUACCGCAUACGAUCUAAUCUCGGCAUCGAGGAAAGAUGAAAGGUGGCCUCUAUUUAUAAGCUAUCACUGAAGGAGGGGAUUGCGUCUGAUUAGCUAGUUGGAGGGGUAACGGCCCACCAAGGCGAUGAUCAGUAGCCGGUCUGAGAGGAUGAACAGCCACAUUGGGACUGAGACACGGCCCAGACUCCUACGGGAGGCAGCAGUGGGGAAUCUUCCGCAAUGGACGAAAGUCUGACGGAGCAACGCCGCGUGAGUGAUGACGGCCUUCGGGUUGUAAAGCUCUGUUAAUCGGGACGAAAGGCCUUCUUGCGAACAGUUAGAAGGAUUGACGGUACCGGAAUAGAAAGCCACGGCUAACUACGUG